rfam:Gossypium arboreum cultivar AKA8401 contig_355770_1, whole genome shotgun sequence.
AUCCCAUGAUGAGGACACUUACGAAGUAACUCUUUGAAUCACUCUCAAGCCUCAUACAAAGACUCGUCAUCCAAUUGUUGGAAGGUUGUAAUCUCGUUCCUCAACUU